rnacentral:pre_miRNA from 1 species
CUCUGUGUCCACUGGGUGUCUUGCUACAAUGCAGAUUCUGAUUCAGUCAUUCUUGGAUGGACCCAAGAGUCUGCAUUUUGAAUAAGUUCUCAGGAGAUAACAGU